GGAGAGGUGCCAGAGUGGUCGAUUGGGACGGUCUCGAAAACCGUUGUGGGUGCAAGCUCACCGUGGGUUCGAAUCCCACCCUCUCCGCCA
rnacentral:tRNA from 8 species